rnacentral:rRNA from 1 species
AAUCGGGAAUAACCAUUCGAAAGGAUGGCUAAUGCCGGAUAAAGUCAGAAAAUCUUUGGAGUUUUUGAUGAAAGGGUGCCUCUGAUUAAAGCAUCUGUUUGAAGAUGAGUCAGCGCACCAUUAGUUUGUUGGUGGGGUAACGGCCUACCAAGACUGCGAUGGUUAGCUGGUCUGAGAGGAUGAUCAGCCACACUGGAACUGACACACGGUCCAGACUCCUACGGGAGGCAGCAGUGAGGAAUUUUGCGCAAUGGGGGAAACCCUGACGCAGCAACGCCGCGUGAGUGAAGAAGGCCCUUGGGUCGUAAAGCUCUGUCAAUGGGGAAGAAGUUAUUUAAUGUUAAUAGCAUUAUUUAUUGACGGUACCCAUGAAGGAAGCACCGGCUAACUCCGUGCCAGCAGCCGCGGUAAUACGGGGGGUGCAAGCGUUAUUCGGAAUUAUUGGGCGUAAAGGGCACGCAGGCGGUCCUGUCAGUCAGAUGUGAAAGCCCGGGGCUCAACCCCGGACGUGCAUUUGAAGCAGCAGGACUUGAGUACGGGAGAGGAAAGGGGAAUUCCUGUGUAGAGGUGAAAUUCGUAGAUAUCAGGAGGAACACCGGUGGCGAAGGCGCCUUUCUGGACCGAUACUGACGCUGAGGUGCGAAGGCGUGGGUAGCGAACGGGAUUAGAUACCCCGGUAGUCCACGCAGUAAACGUUGUAUGCUAGGUGUAGCGGGUAUUGACCCCUGCUGCGCCGCAGUUAACACAUUAAGCAUACCGCCUGGGGAGUACGGUCGCAAGACUAAAACUCAAAGAAAUUGACGGGGGCCCGCACAAGCGGUGGAGCAUGUGGUUUAAUUCGACGCAACGCGAAGAACCUUACCCAGACUUGACAUCUUGAGAAUCCUUUAGAAAUUUAGGAGUGCCUUCGGGAGCUCAAAGACAGGUGCUGCAUGGCUGUCGUCAGCUCGUGUCGUGAGAUGUUUGGUUAAGUCCAGCAACGAGCGCAACCCUUGUCUUCAGUUGCCAGCACAUAAUGGUGGGAACUCUGAAGAGACUGCCCCGGUUAACGGGGAGGAAGGUGAGGAUGACGUCAAGUCCUCAUGGCCCUUAUGUCUGGGGCUACGCACGUGCUACAAUGGUAUGUACAACGGGCAGCAAGCGUGCGAGCGCAAGCAAAUCCCUUAAAGCAUAUCCCAGUCCGGAUUGGAGUCUGCAACUCGACUCCAUGAAGUUGGAAUCGCUAGUAAUCGU